rnacentral:tRNA from 1 species
GUUAUUAUACUUUAAAGCUUAGAAGUUCUAAUUUGCAAUUAGAGAGUGAGGUUUAAUUCUCUACUAACA